UGGAAGAGGAAGGACUCCUUCUGCCUAAUGUGAUGACCAGCCUGAACAGUUCCCUGCAUGGAGUCCAAGAUAUGAGUUCCCAGAUGGCACAGGCGGUCCACAGACCUGCACCAAUCCUGGCGAGGCAGUACCAAGAAAAAGAGGAACCAGGGGUCCAGAGAUGCUGGAGUCAGCUUUUUAAACUUCAUUCCGGUGUGAAGGGGCACAACAGAAGACAAAUAUCUUUAUGACAGCAGCCGCUGAGAUGGCAUGUUCAUCAUUUAGUUUGAAGGCUGGGCUGAACCAGUAGGACAAGCUUGGAUAAAUGCCUGCAUCCCAUAUGGACUGGUUGAGUGUUUGCAUACAUACAUUUAUGCAAAACAAACUGUCAUAGUUAUGAUGCCUCAACCAUAAACACAUAAACAUGUAACUCUAAAUGGUUCUAGAUGCGAGAAACUUUGACCAACACUAUAAGUGAACAGGACCAUGACAGAUAGAUGAGUGUCUGUGUGUGUGCAGAGGCAGGACAGAGCUGCAGAUUAGACGUAAUGAAAUCCAUGCUGAGAAAGCGCUCUCUCUCCCCAGUGUUUUUUAUUAAGUCUUACAUAAGAGAACAUUGUGAA